GACGAACCGUGCAAACGUUGUUCGGAAUCACUGGGCUUAAAGGGCGCGUAGGCGGGUUCGCAAGUCUGUGGUGAAAGCCCCCAGCUUAACUGGGGAAGUGCCGUGGAUACUGCGAAUCUUGAGGAGGGUAGGGGCAUCUGGAACGGUCGGUGGAGCGGUGAAAUGCGUUGAUAUCGACCGGAACUCCGGUGGCGAAGGCGAGGUGCUGGACCCUUUCUGACGCUGAGGCGCGAAAGCCAGGGGAGCAAACGGG
rnacentral:rRNA from 1 species